rnacentral:rRNA from 1 species
UACGGAGGGGGCUAGCGUUGUUCGGAAUUACUGGGCGUAAAGCGCACGUAGGCGGCUUUGUAAGUUAGAGGUGAAAGCCCGGAGCUCAACUCCGGAAUUGCCUUUAAGACUGCAUCGCUAGAACGUCGGAGAGGUGAGUGGAAUUCCGAGUGUAGAGGUGAAAUUCGUAGAUAUUCGGAAGAACACCAGUGGCGAAGGCGACUCACUGGACGACUGUUGACGCUGAGGUGCGAAAGCGUGGGGAG